rnacentral:rRNA from 1 species
GACGAACGCUGGCGGCGUGCCUAAUACAUGCAAGUAGAACGCUGAAGGAGGAGCUCGCUUCUCUGGAUGAGUUGCGAACGGGUGAGUAACGCGUAGGUAACCUGCCUGGUAGCGGGGGAUAACUAUUGGAAACGAUAGCUAAUACCGCAUAAUAUUGACUAUUGCAUGAUAGUCAGUUGAAAGGUGCAACUGCACCACUACCAGAUGGACCUGCGUUGUAUUAGCUAGUUGGUGGGGUAACGGCUCACCAAGGCGACGAUACAUAGCCGACCUGAGAGGGUGAUCGGCCACACUGGGACUGAGACACAGCCCAGACUCCUACGGGAGGCAGCAGUAGGGAAUCUUCGGCAAUGGACGGAAGUCUGACCGAGCAACGCCGCGUGAGUGAAGAAGGUUUUCGGAUCGUAAAGCUCUGUUGUAAGAGAAGAACGAGUGUGAGAGUGGAAAGCUCACACUGUGACGGUAUCUUACCAGAAAGGGACGGCUAACUACGUG